rnacentral:rRNA from 1 species
ACUCCUACGGGAGGCUGCAGUAGGGAAUCUUCCGCAAUGGACGAAAGUCUGACGGAGCAACGCCGCGUGAGUGACGAAGGUUUUCGGAUCGUAAAACUCUGUUGUGAGGGAAGAACAAGUGCCACGUAACUACUGGCACCUUGACGGUACCUCACCAGAAAGCCACGGCUAACUACGUGCCAGCAGCCGCGGUAAUACGUAGGUGGCAAGCGUUGUCCGGAAUUAUUGGGCGUAAAGCGCGCGCAGGCGGUCCUUUAAGUCUGAUGUGAAAGCCCACGGCUCAACCGUGGAGGGUCAUUGGAAACUGGAGGACUUGAGUGCAGAAGAGGAAAGUGGAAUUCCAUGUGUAGCGGUGAAAUGCGUAGAGAUGUGGAGGAACACCAGUGGCGAAGGCGACUUUCUGGUCUGUAACUGACGCUGAGGCGCGAAAGCGUGGGGAGCAAACAGGAUUAGAUACCCUGGUAGUCCACGCCGUAAACGAUGAGUGCUAAGUGUUAGGGGGUUUCCGCCCCUUAGUGCUGCAGCUAACGCAUUAAGCACUCCGCCUGGGGAGUACGGCCGCAAGGCUGAAACUCAAAGGAAUUGACGGGGGCCCGCACAA